AUGAACGCUGGCGGCGUGCCUAAUACAUGCAAGUCGAGCGAACAGACGAGGAGCUUGCUCCUCUGACGUUAGCGGCGGACGGGUGAGUAACACGUGGAUAACCUACCUAUAAGACUGGGAUAACUUCGGGAAACCGGAGCUAAUACCGGAUAAUAUAUUGAACCGCAUGGUUCAAUAGUGAAAGACGGUUUUGCUGUCACUUAUAGAUGGAUCCGCGCCGCAUUAGCUAGUUGGUAAGGUAACGGCUUACCAAGGCAACGAUGCGUAGCCGACCUGAGAGGUUGAUCGGCCACACUGGAACUGAGACACGGUCCAGACUCCUACGGGAGGCAGCAGUAGGGAAGCUUCCGCAAUGGGCGAAAGCCUGACGGAGCAACGCCGCGUGAGUGAUGAAGGUCUUCGGAUCGUAAAACUCUGUUAUUAGGGAAGAACAAAUGUGUAAGUAACUAUGCACGUCUUGACGGUACCUAAUCAGAAAGCCACGGCUAACUACGUG
rnacentral:rRNA from 1 species